UUCUCCAUCGCCAUCUCCCCACAAGUCUCCGCUCCACCCUUCUGGUUCCCAACUCUCGGGCAACUCCAUGGUAAAAGAGCGGACCUGUUUCGGGUGAGCUUGGCGUGGUUUUUUGUUACCUUUUUCUCGUACCAAUUGAGAAAUGUAAGAAACUGAUUUUUCUAACAUUCCUUGCGCUUUUUCUCUGUCUGAUUCAAGCGUUUUAAUUUUUUCCUCUAAUUCAGUUAUCUUUUUAUCUUUUAAUAACUCUGAAGCACAUUCUUUAUCCAAAGCCUUUGAUCUUUCUUUCCAAGCUUCAGCACAAAUCCACAACAUCUCACGAAUCCCCUUCAGCGGGGCUUUCUCUUUUAUCUCCACCUGGCUGAGUAUAUCCUUAAUCAGCGGUGGAGAAGCCGAAGGAAAUGCUCCCAUCCACGGCUUGGGGCGUCCCCCGUACCGUCUAAGGAGUUUCCCUAUUUCCCUAAACUCAUUGCUUUCCCAUCCGGAAACGCAAUCCUCCUUAGGAGACACUUCCUCUCCUUUCACAGUUUUUCUAACAAAACAACAAGCCAUUUUUCUAGCAAAACAAGCCAUUUCUGAAUGUAUUCUCCAGUGAUCCUGCCGACAACGCCAAAAAUGUUUUGAAACACUUCUGAUACUCAAUUUGAAUGAAUAUCAAGUUUUAUAAAGGAUCGUUGGAGAUAGGCACUCAGAAAUAACGACAAGACACUUCUGGCUACCAACAAUAGGCACUUUAUUGGUCCCACACAGAAAUGAUAACACAGUUCAAACAAGUUGUAUGAAGCUAAAGAACUCUUACCGUGUGCCAGUAGGGUGGAGAGCCAACACCCUCAGCAGAGUGAGCUUCAAUACGAGCUGGGCGUCUCGUACUUUGACCCACAGCGGACUCUGCUGAGGAGCAUCGCUCCCCUCCUUUUAUCCUCUAAAGCAGGGGUGUCCAAACUUUUUGCCAAGGGGGCCAGAUUUUAUGUGUCACAAAACCUUUGACUCGAACAACAGGGAAAUGAACAAGCAAUACACAUAUCCACAACUAAAAGGAUCAUUUGAAAUAUGACAUAUCAGUCAAUAUAAACACGGAGUGAUGUCUUGUUAACUCGUGAGUGAUGCCCUCUAGUGUCUAAAUGCUAUUACUCAUUUGGUGAAUGCUAUUACUCAUUUAGCCACUAGAGGGAAGCAGUACUCUAUGAAACAUCACUCACCAGUCUACGAGACCUCAGUCAAUGCAACACGUGUUCCAUUGUGCCCAACCUGCGGGCCAGACGGCACUGAUUUUAUGACAGGGGCCGAGGGCCGGAUGAAAUUCGACCGCGG